GAUGAACGCUGGCGGCGUGCCUACUACGUGCAAGUCGAGCGAACAGACGAGGAGCUUGCUCCUCUGACGUUAGCGACGGACGGGUGAGUAACACGUGGAUAACCUACCUAUAAGACUGGGAUAACUUCGGGAAACGGGAGCUAAUACCGGAUAAUAUAUUGAACCGCAUGGUUCAAUAGUGAAAGACGGUUUUGCUGUCACUUAUAGAUGGUUCCGCGCCGCAGUAGGUAGUUGGUAAGGUAACGGCUUACAAAGGCAACGAGGCGUAGCCGACCUGAGGGGGUGAUCGGCCACACGGGAACGUAGACGCGGUCCAGACGCCUACGGGAGGCAGCAGUAUGGAAUCGGCCGCAAUGGGCGAAAGCAUUACGGAGCAACGCGGCGUGAGUGAUGAAGGUCUUCGGAUCGUAAAACUCUGUUAUGAGGUAAGAACAAAUGUGUAAGUAACUAUGCCCGUCUUGACGGUAACUAAUCAGAAAGCCACGGCUAACUACGUG
rnacentral:rRNA from 1 species